AGCACGUUAUGGUGGCACUCUAAGGAGACUGCCGGUGACAAACCGGAGGAAGGUGGGGAUGACGUCAAGUCAUCAUGGCCCUUACGGCCUGGGCUACACACGUGCUACAAUGGUCGGUACAAAGGGUUGCCAAGCCGCGAGGUGGAGCUAAUCCCAUAAAAACCGAUCGUAGUCCGGAUCGCAGUCUGCAACUCGACUGCGUGAAGUCGGAAUCGCUAGUAAUCGUGAAUCAGAAUGUCACGGUGAAUACGUUCCCGGGCCUU
rnacentral:rRNA from 1 species